rnacentral:rRNA from 1 species
UGCGAAUGGCUCAUUAAAUCAGUUAUCGUUUAUUUGAUAGUACCUUACUACUUGGAUAACCGUGGUAAUUCUAGAGCUAAUACAUGCUGAAAACCCCAACUUCGGGAGGGGUGUAUUUAUUAGAUAAAAAACCAACGCCCUUCGGGGCUUCUUGGUGAUUCAUGAUAACUUUACGGAUCGCAUGGNCCUUGCGCCGGCGACGGUUCAUUCAAAUUUCUGCCCUAUCAACUUUCGAUGGUAAGGUAUUGGCUUACCAUGGUUUCAACGGGUAACGGGGAAUUAGGGUUCGAUUCCGGAGAGGGAGCCUGAGAAACGGCUACCACAUCCAAGGAAGGCAGCAGGCGCGCAAAUUACCCAAUCCCGACACGGGGAGGUAGUGACAAUAAAUACUGAUACAGGGCUCUUUUGGGUCUUGUAAUUGGAAUGAGUACAAUUUAAACCUCUUAACGAGGAACAAUUGGAGGGCAAGUCUGGUGCCAGCAGCCGCGGUAAUUCCAGCUCCAAUAGCGUAUAUUAAAGUUGUUGCAGUUAAAAAGCUCGUAGUUGAAACUUGGGCCUGGCUGGCAGGUCCGCCUCACCGCGUGUACUUGUCCGGCCGGGCCUUCCUUCUGGAGAACCUCAUGCCCUUCACUGGGCGUGUUGGGGACCAGGACUUUUACUUUGAAAAAAUUAGAGUGUUCAAAGCAGGCCUUUGCUCGAAUACGUUAGCAUGGAAUAAUAGAAUAGGACGUGCGGUCCUAUUUUGUUGGUUUCUAGGACCGCCGUAAUGAUUAAUAGGGACAGUCGGGGGCAUCAGUAUUCAAUUGUCAGAGGUGAAAUUCUUGGAUUUAUUGAAGACUAACUACUGCGAAAGCAUUUGCCAAGGAUGUUUUCAUUAAUCAGUGAACGAAAGUUAGGGGAUCGAAGACGAUCAGAUACCGUCGUAGUCUUAACCGUAAACUAUGCCGACUAGGGAUCGGGCGAUGUUCUUUUUCUGACUCGCUCGGCACCUUACGAGA